AAUAGCUUGGUCAUCUUUGCCCCAGUGUGUCUGUUUCGUUGUGUCUGUGUGUCGGAGUUUGGGACUCUCAGUGGGGUGCACACUUCAAAGCAAUCAGGGGAACUCUACUACAACAACAACAACUGCUGGCUACUCCAAAUCAGUUUAAAUUCAAACUGGAUGUUCUGCUUUUUCCCUUUUUAAAUAACGUUGUGUGGAAACACAUUUUAUUGACUUAUUUCUAACCCGGCAAAAAAUAAAUAAAUAACCGUAAUAAAUACAAAAUAAAUAGUACAUUUAUCUGAUUCAUAGCAUAAUGUUUACAAAGGGGUUGUAAGAUAUUUCGUUUUUUCACAAUACAACAUUAGAUAAGGUAUGCUCGUCAUAUCAAGUCUCAUAGCUGUAUGUCACUGGGGUCUGAUGGGCUUGGAGUGGUCUUGUUCCAGUCAGCAAAUUUACCCUAAGCCAGAGAGGGGAUCUUCAGAGGAGGAGGUCUUCAUAGGAGGAGAUCUUUAGAGGAGGAGGUCUUCAUAGGAGGUCUUCAGAGGAGGUCUUCAGAGGAGGUCUUCAGAGGAGGUCUUCAGAGGAGGAGGUCUUCAUAGGAGGAGGUCUUCAUAGGAGGUCUUCAGAGGAGGUCUUUAGAGGAGGUCUUCAUCGGAGGAGAUCUUUAGAAGAGGAGGUCUUCAUAGGAGGUCUUCAGAGGAGGAGGUCUUCAGAGGAGGUCUUCAGAGGAGGAGGUCUUCAGAGGAGGAGGUCUUCAGAGGAGGAGGUCUUCAGAGGAGGAGGUCUUCAUAGGAGGAGGUCUUCAGAGGAGGAGGUCUUCAGAGGAGGAGGUCUUCAUAGGAGGAGGUCUUCAGAGGAGGAGGUCUUUAGAGGAGGAGGUCUUCAUAGGAGGAGGUCUUCAUAGGAGGAGGUCUUCAGAGGAGGAGGUCUUCAGAGGAGGAGGUCUUCAUAGGAGGAGGUCUUUAGAGGAGGAGGUCUUCAUAGGAGGAGGUCUUCAUAGGAGGAGGUCUUCAUAGGAGGAGGUCUUCAUAGGAGGAGGUCUUCAUAGGAGCAGGUCUUCAUAGGAGCAGGUCUUCAGAAGACUGUCUGUUGGCCUAACAGUUGGUGGGAAAUUAAAAUGACCUGCCAGGAUCAAAGGCCAUAAGAAAGCAUGACAAGAAUUUCCCAGGAUACAUUUCAAGGGCGGACAGACGGGACAGUGUAAAUCAUAAAAAAACAACACCAGGUUUUCAUUUAGUCCUAUCAUCACUCAGAUAGACGGAUUUCAGCUCAAAAGUGAGAGGAAAAGAGAAGAAGAAAUGUUUAAUGUUUAAAGUUUAAUGGGCUUGGUAUGUGUUGCAUUAUGGAUAAUGACCAGUGAGGCGAGUGGGGGCCCUUCGAGCGCUGGGAGCUGAGCUCUCUCUCUCUCUCUCUGCAGCCAAAGCAGGGUCCUAGCUGCUCUGUCCAGUCCUCCCGUGCCUCACACCUCUCUUCUGUCUCAUUCUUUCUCCCUCCUAUUCAACUGUUAUCUGGUGUGUUGGCAUUGGUGGUGUUGUUGAUGAUGAGCUGAAACUUUGUGGAUUAAAAUAUCUGUAGAUGUUUAUUUUAGUUAGAGAGCCACUAAAUCCAUACAGUAUAUCAUUUGAUGGUGUGAUUGGUGGACCCAGAAACUGGCA
rnacentral:lncRNA from 1 species